rnacentral:rRNA from 1 species
UACGGAGGAGGCAAGCGUUAUCCGGAAUUAUUGGGCGUAAAGCGUCCGCAGGUGGCACUUCAAGUCUGUCGUCAAAGACUGGGGCUUAACCCUGGAAAGGCGGUGGAAACUGAAGCGCUAGAGUGCGGUAGGGGUAGAGGGAAUUCCCGGUGUAGCGGUGAAAUGCGUAGAGAUCGGGAAGAACAUCGGUGGCGAAAGCGGCUCUCUGGGACGGUACUGACGCUGAGACGCGAAAGCGUGGGGAGCGAACAGG